UACAGAGGGUGCGAGCGUUGUUCGGAAUUAUUGGGCGUAAAGGGCGCGUAGGCGGUGCGGUAAGUCACCUGUGAAAUCUCCUGGCUCAACUGGGAGCUUGCAGGCGAAACUGCCGUGCUGGAGUGUGGGAGAGGUGCGUGGAAUUCCUGGUGUAGCGGUGAAAUGCGUAGAUAUCAGGAGGAACACCUGUGGCGAAAGCGGCGCACUGGGCCACAACUGACGCUGAGGCGCGAAAGCUAGGGGAGCAAACAGG
rnacentral:rRNA from 1 species